rnacentral:hammerhead_ribozyme from 1 species
GUCCAGUUGACGAUUCCCAAAUAGAACGAAGUGCGCAUCCUGGAU